rnacentral:tRNA from 1 species
GGUGGCUCAGUGGUAUAGUGCUUGCCUUGCAUGCAUGAGGCUCUGGGUUCAAUUCCUCAGCACCA